UACGAAGGGGGCUAGCGUUGCUCGGAAUCACUGGGCGUAAAGCGCACGUAGGCGGAUUGUUAAGUCAGGGGUGAAAUCCUGGAGCUCAACUCCAGAACUGCCUUUGAUACUGGCGAUCUCGAGUCCGGGAGAGGUGAGUGGAACUGCGAGUGUAGAGGUGAAAUUCGUAGAUAUUCGCAAGAACACCAGUGGCGAAGGCGGCUCACUGGCCCGAUACUGACGCUGAGGCACGAAAGCGUGGGGAGCAAACGGG
rnacentral:rRNA from 1 species